CUGACUUCGCAUAUAAAUGGCGCCAAUGCUGCGUUUAUGUUAUAUAUCUAUUUGUUUAUAUUAUUGAAAAAUAUGUUAAGAUUAAUUUACAUCAUCCUUUUAAUAUUUUUUGCCAGCAACUUGUGCGAAGAACAAUUUUGCCCGGCGGAUAGUACUGAUUCCUGUAAAACGAACGAGAUUGAUCACCAGAAAUUAUCAUAUACAAAAGCAACAAAUGAGGGAUAUCAAAAAUAUCUAACAGCAAUUAAAGAUGCAGAACGAGACUAUAAAGAAUGCAAUAAUACAAAGAACUCAUGCUUUAGAGAUGUCAUCAUACGAGACUUGAGCCCUUUUAAAAAGAAGGGCAUAAGCGAAGAAAUGAUAGUUGCUUCAAGAAGCAGGGGUACACUUUAUCAAAUAAUUGGAGGAAAAUUGUAUAGAGAAAAGGAUUGUAUGUUUCCAACCAGAUGCACUGGAAUAGAACAUUUUCUAUUAAAAGUAAUUGAUAAUUUAUCAGAUAUGGAUUUAAUAAUAAAUACUAGAGAUUAUCCCCAAUCCAGUGAAUAUUAUGGUAAUGCAAUGCCUAUUUUUUCGUUUAGUAAGACAUCGCAAUAUUAUGAUAUUAUGUAUCCAGCAUGGGCAUUUUGGGAAGGUGGUCCUGCUAUCUCAUUGUAUCCUCGUGGUCUUGGCAGAUGGGAUCAACAUCGUAAACUCUUAAAUAAGGCAAGUUCAGAGAUUCCGUGGGAAAAAAAAGAAAAUAAAGGAUUCUUUCGUGGUUCUAGAACAAGUUCGGAACGUGAUAACUUGAUUUUAUUAAGCCGUAAUAAAUCUCACUUGGUAGAUGCUCAAUAUACUAAAAAUCAGGCAUGGAAGUCUAAUGAGGACACUUUGUAUGCAGCACCAGCAUCAGAGGUGCCUUUGGAAUCACAUUGUGCAUAUAAAUACUUGUUUAAUUUUCGAGGUGUGGCAGCUUCGUUUAGACAUAAACAUCUGUUUUUAUGCCGUUCGUUAGUUUUUCAUGUGGGUGAUGAAUGGACUGAAUUUUACUAUUAUGCCAUGAAACCAUGGAUUCAUUAUAUACCUGUUUCUAAAAAUGCAGAUCAAAAAGAAUUAGAAAAUUUGAUUGAAUUUGCAAGGAAUCAUGAUGAUUUAGCGAAAAAGAUUGCACAUCGCGGUAGAGAUUUUAUAUGGAAUAAUUUACGAAUGUCGGACGUUAUGUAUUUUUGGAAACAGCUUCUUAAAAAUUAUGAUGUAUAAAGUGUGUCAGAAGUAUGUCGAUUGAGAUCAUUGUUCAAAAAAAGUUAUUUCAUUGGAAGACUUGGUCAAAUACGUUAAAAAGAAAAGGGGAUGAUUGUGCAACUCACGAUGCAUGCCGUGUUUCCAAAAUAUUAAAUCUCAACAAACACGUCGAACAUUCGACAAAAUAACAAAAAGGUAACAGAUAAAAAUUAGAAUUUGAGGGUAGAAACUUUCCGUAAGUGUCAGUAUAUUGUUGGAUUAGGAGGACAAGUCGAAAACCUUUACGUUUUUAUGCACUAUUAAGUUCCAAACAACGCAACUGCCAGUGGCAAUGAUUACUCAUGCACCAUAUCUUAUUUCAUAUUUGUGUGCACGUGUAUUUUUGUGUAUAUGAAUUUUAAAAUAAGUUGGUGCUGAGGCGGUGUAACUUUGAUUAACUAUUGUCUAUAUAUGUGCUACAUGUGUCGAUCAAGUUGAGAGAUGAGAGUGAUGAUGCAAAAUAAAGGGAAAGGUUCAUGCAGCACAAAUGAUAUUUUUAUAAUAUAAUACUACUUCUCCUCUAAUAUAAAAAAAAAUCACAUGUAGAGGAAAUAGAGACAGAGUAUGUAAAGAGAAGAAAAAAGCAUAGUACGCCGCAACCCCGCAAUUGUAAUGUGCUUAAUUAAAGCCAUCCGUGUAAAUGAGACGAAAAUGAAAAAAAAAAGAGAAAACGUGAAGAAAAAAUCUUACUUAUUUAUUCUUAUCUUGUCAAACUGGAUGUGGCGACGAUGACACAAGUCGAGUUUUCACGCGAUUCACAGUGUUUACUUUUCGAUGUUGAUAUUUUUUAAAAUAAAACUUUGCUCUCAUCCGUCGCCUGGCUAAUAAAUACUCUGGGCUUUGGCGUAAUCAUAAUAAUGUUGCGAGGUUAUCAACAAUGUGUGAAAAUAUUAGAUUUGUGUCGGGUAUAUAUAAAGAAUUAUUAUAAGCAAUAAAACAUGAUCUUAAUAGAUUCAAAACAGCGAAUCUUUAAUUUAUGAAACCAUAAUAAUGAUGAUGAUAUAAUUUGAUAAUUAAUGAUUAAAUGAUUAAUAUAUAAUAGCGAUAAAAAUGGUUAUAAUGAUGUUG